GAAAUGCGAUAAUUAAUGUGAAUUGCAGAAUUCAGUGAAUCAUCGAGUCUUUGAACGCACAUUGCGCCCCCUGGUAUUCCGGGGGGCAUGCCUGUCCGAGCGUCAUUGCUGCCCCCAAGCACGGCUUGUGUGUUGGGCUUCCGUCCCUGGCAACGGGGACGGGCCCAAAAGGCAGUGGUGGCACCAUGUCUGGUCCUCGAGCGUAUGGGGCUUUGUCACCCGCUCCCGUAGGUCCAGCUGGCAGCUAGCCUCGCAACCAAUCUUUUUAACCAGGUUGACCUCGGAUCAGGUAGGGAUACCCGCUGAACUUAAGC
rnacentral:misc_RNA from 1 species